rnacentral:lncRNA from 1 species
AGGGGAACAGCUCUCAUAGGAAUACACUCUUCUGAAACCAACUGUGAGUUCGAGGUGUUCCCAAAACCACCCUUUUAUACUACAGCAUCUCUGAACUCUACAAUGGCUCCCAAACACACUGUACUUUUUUCCACUCUUUGUUUCUGAUCUGUCUGUCCACGCAUUCUCAAAUGCUGUAUCAGCCAGAGUACCAACUGGGAAAUUGUAGCACACCCAAAAUGUUGUCCAAAGGGA